rnacentral:rRNA from 1 species
UACGGAGGAUGCAAGCGUUAUCCGGAUUCAUUGGGUUUAAAGGGUGCGUAGGCGGGCUAUUAAGUCAGUGGUGAAAUCCUGCAGCUUAACUGCAGAACUGCCAUUGAUACUGAUAGUCUUGAGUUUGGUUAAGGUAGGCGAAAUGUGUAAUGUAGCGGUGAAAUGCUUAGAUAUUACACAGAACACCAAUUGCGUAGGCAGCUUACUGAGCCGACACUGACGCUGAGGCACGAAAGCGUGGGGAUCGAACAGGA